UCCAUAGUGGCUCAGACAGUAAAGAAUCUGCCUGCAAUGCAGGAGACCCAGGUUCGAUCCCUGGGUCAGGAA
rnacentral:tRNA from 1 species